UACAGUAGUUACAUGGGCAGUAUAGUAUAGGCCCCAGUGUGUUAUACAGUAGUUACAUGGGGAGUAUAGUAUAGGUCCCAGUGUUAUACAGUAGUUACAUUGGGAGUAUAGUAUAGGUCCCAGUGUUAUACAGUAGAUACAUGGGGAUUAUAGUAUAGUAUAGGUCCCAGUGUUAUACAGUAGUUACAUGAGGAGUAUAGUAUAGGUCCCAGUGUGUUAUACAGUAGAUACAUGGGGAUUAUAGUAUAGUAUAGGUCCCAGUGUUAUACAGUAGUUACAUGGGGAGUAUAGUAUAGUAUAGGUCCCAGUGUUAUACAGUAGUUACAUGGGGAGUAUAGUAUAGGUCCCAGUGUUAUACAGUAGUUACAUGGGGAGUAUAGUAUAGGUCCCAGUGUUAUACAGUAGCUACAAUGGGAGUAUAGUAUAGGUCCCAGUGUUAUACAGUAGUUACAUGGGGAGUAUAGUAUAGGUCCCAGUGUUAUACAGUAGUUACAUUGGGAGUAUA